rnacentral:rRNA from 1 species
GACGAACGCUGGCGGCGUGCUUAACACAUGCAAGUCGAACGGAAAGGCCCUGCUUUUGUGGGGUGCUCGAGUGGCGAACGGGUGAGUAACACGUGAGUAACCUGCCCUUGACUUUGGGAUAACUUCAGGAAACUGGGGCUAAUACCGGAUAGGAGCUCCUGCUGCAUGGUGGGGGUUGGAAAGUUUCGGCGGUUGGGGAUGGACUCGCGGCUUAUCAGCUUGUUGGUGGGGUAGUGGCUUACCAAGGCUUUGACGGGUAGCCGGCCUGAGAGGGUGACCGGCCACAUUGGGACUGGGAUACGGCCCAGACUCCUACGGGAGGAAGCAGUGGGGAAUAUUGCACAAUGGGCGGAAGCCUGAUGCAGCAACGCCGCGUGCGGGAUGACGGCCUUCGGGUUGUAAACCGCUUUCGCCUGUGACGAAGCGUGAGUGACGGUAAUGGGUAAAGAAGCACCGGCUAACUACGU